rnacentral:rRNA from 1 species
UUUGUGGAGAGUUUGAUCCUGGCUCAGGAUGAACGCUGGCGGCGUGCCUAAUACAUGCAAGUCGAGCGAACGGACGAGAAGCUUGCUUCUCUGAUGUUAGCGGCGGACGGGUGAGUAACACGUGGAUAACCUACCUAUAAGACUGGGAUAACUUCGGGAAACCGGAGCUAAUACCGGAUAAUAUUUUGAACCGCAUGGUUCAAAAGUGAAAGACGGUCUUGCUGUCACUUAUAGAUGGAUCCGCGCUGCAUUAGCUAGUUGGUAAGGUAACGGCUUACCAAGGCAACGAUGCAUAGCCGACCUGAGAGGGUGAUCGGCCACACUGGAACUGAGACACGGUCCAGACUCCUACGGGAGGCAGCAGUAGGGAAUCUUCCGCAAUGGGCGAAAGCCUGACGGAGCAACGCCGCGUGAGUGAUGAAGGUCUUCGGAUCGUAAAACUCUGUUAUUAGGGAAGAACAUAUGUGUAAGUAACUGUGCACAUCUUGACGGUACCUAAUCAGAAAGCCACGGCUAACUACGUGCCAGCAGCCGCGGUAAUACGUAGGUGGCAAGCGUUAUCCGGAAUUAUUGGGCGUAAAGCGCGCGUAGGCGGUUUUUUAAGUCUGAUGUGAAAGCCCACGGCUCAACCGUGGAGGGUCAUUGGAAACUGGAAAACUUGAGUGCAGAAGAGGAAAGUGGAAUUCCAUGUGUAGCGGUGAAAUGCGCAGAGAUAUGGAGGAACACCAGUGGCGAAGGCGACUUUCUGGUCUGUAACUGACGCUGAUGUGCGAAAGCGUGGGGAUCAAACAGGAUUAGAUACCCUGGUAGUCCACGCCGUAAACGAUGAGUGCUAAGUGUUAGGGGGUUUCCGCCCCUUAGUGCUGCAGCUAACGCAUUAAGCACUCCGCCUGGGGAGUACGACCGCAAGGUUGAAACUCAAAGGAAUUGACGGGGACCCGCACAAGCGGUGGAGCAUGUGGUUUAAUUCGAAGCAACGCGAAGAACCUUACCAAAUCUUGACAUCCUUUGACAACUCUAGAGAUAGAGCCUUCCCCUUCGGGGGACAAAGUGACAGGUGGUGCAUGGUUGUCGUCAGCUCGUGUCGUGAGAUGUUGGGUUAAGUCCCGCAACGAGCGCAACCCUUAAGCUUAGUUGCCAUCAUUAAGUUGGGCACUCUAAGUUGACUGCCGGUGACAAACCGGAGGAAGGUGGGGAUGACGUCAAAUCAUCAUGCCCCUUAUGAUUUGGGCUACACACGUGCUACAAUGGACAAUACAAAGGGCAGCGAAACCGCGAGGUCAAGCAAAUCCCAUAAAGUUGUUCUCAGUUCGGAUUGUAGUCUGCAACUCGACUACAUGAAGCUGGAAUCGCUAGUAAUCGUAGAUCAGCAUGCUACGGUGAAUACGUUCCCGGGUCUUGUACACACCGCCCGUCACACCACGAGAGUUUGUAACACCCGAAGCCGGUGGAGUAACCUUUUAGGAGCUAGCCGUCGAAGGUGGGACAAAUGAUUGGGGUGAAGUCGUAACAAGGUAGCCGUAUCGGAAGGUGCGGCUGGAUCACCUCCUUUCU